UACGUAGGGGGCGAGCGUUGUCCGAAGUUACUGGGCGUAAAGCGCGCGUAGGCGGGGGGUUAAGUGGGAGGUGAAAGGCUGGGGCUCAACCCCAGCAGUGCCUCCCAUACUGGCCUUCUUGAGGGCGGUAGGGAGAAGUGGAAUGGCUGGUGUAGCGGUGAAAUGCGUAGAUAUCAGUCGGAACACCGGUGGCGAAGGCGGCUUCUUGGGCCGUUCCUGACGCUGAGGCGCGAAAGCUGGGGGAGCGAACGGG
rnacentral:rRNA from 1 species